UACGAAGGGGGCUAGCGUUGCUCGGAAUCACUGGGCGUAAAGCGCACGUAGGCGGAUUGUUAAGUCAGGGGUGAAAUCCUGGAGCUCAACUCCAGAACUGCCUUUGAUACUGGGGAUCUCGAGUCCGGGAGAGGUGAGUGGAACUGCGAGUGUAGAGGUGAAAUUCGUAGAUAUUCGCAAGAACACCAGUGGAGAAGGCGGCUCACUGGCCCGGUACUGACGCUGAGGUGCGAAAGCGUGGGGAGCAAACAGG
rnacentral:rRNA from 1 species